CAGGCCAGUACCAAGCAUUACCCCGUGGUGGGGUUCCCGAGCGUUCAUUAGGGAGCUGACUGUCAAUCUGCAGUCAUCGACUUAAAGGUUCGACUCGAGCGCCAGCGAGAGAACGUUGCCAAGGGCAACGGCACGAAGGGUGAGGAGCUUUAGCUCCGAAUAAUCCUUCCCUC
rnacentral:sRNA from 1 species